UCUAAUAUGGCAGAUUAGUGCAUUGAAUUUAAACUUCACUCAUAAAGUUUAUACUUUUUUUAGA
rnacentral:tRNA from 2 species